rnacentral:rRNA from 1 species
CAGGUGCGGGCGGUGCUACCAUGCAGUCGACGAGAAGUCUUGCUUGCAAGGCGAGUAAAGUGGCGCACGGGUGAGUAACGCGUGGGUAAUCUUCCUUCGGGACAGGGAUAACACCCCGAAAGGGGUGCUAAUACCAGAUACGAUGCAGACUCCACAAGGAGUCUGCAUGAAAGGUGACCUCUUCCUUGAAAGUUGCCGCUCGAAGAUGAGCCUGCGUCCCAUUAGCUCGUUGGUAGGGUAAUGGCCUACCAAGGCGAAGAUGGGUAGCUGGUCUGAGAGGAUGAUCAGCCACACUGGAACUGAGACACGGUCCAGACUCCUACGGGAGGCAGCAGUGGGGAAUAUUGCGCAAUGGGGGAAACCCUGACGCAGCAACGCCGCGUGAGUGAUGAAGGCCUUCGGGUCGUAAAGCUCUGUCAGGUGGGAAGAACACGGCAGUCUCUAACAUGGAUUGCCUAUGACGGUACCACCAGAGGAAGCACCGGCUAACUCCGUGCCAGCAGCCGCGGUAAUACGGAGGGUGCAAGCGUUGUUCGGAAUCACUGGGCGUAAAGCGCGUGUAGGCGGCCCAUUAAGUCAGGUGUGAAAUCCCUUAGCUCAACUAAGGAAUUGCAUCUGAAACUGGUGGGCUUGAGUACGGGAGAGGAGAGUGGAAUUCCUGGUGUAGAGGUGAAAUUCGUAGAUAUCGGGAAGAACACCGGUGGCGAAGGCGGCUCUCUGGACCGAUACUGACGCUGAGACGCGAAAGCGUGGGGAGCAAACAGGAUUAGAUACCCUGGUAGUCCACGCCGUAAACGAUGGGCACUAGGUGUGGAGGGUAUUGACCCCCUCUGUGCCGUAGCUAACGCAUUAAGUGCCCCGCCUGGGAAGUACGGCCGCAAGGCUAAAACUCAAAGGAAUUGACGG